AGUGAACGCUGGCGGUAGGCCUAACACAUGCAAGUCGAACGGCAGCACAGUAAGAGCUUGCUCUUACGGGUGGCGAGUGGCGGACGGGUGAGGAAUACAUCGGAAUCUACUUUUUCGUGGGGGAUAACGUAGGGAAACUUACGCUAAUACCGCAUACGACCUACGGGUGAAAGCAGGGGAUCUUCGGACCUUGCGCGAUUGAAUGAGCCGAUGUCGGAUUAGCUAGUUGGCGGGGUAAAGGCCCACCAAGGCGACGAUCCGUAGGUGGUCUGAGAGGAUGAUCAGCCACACUGGAACUGAGACACGGUCCAGACUCCUACGGGAGGCAGCAGUGGGGAAUAUUGGACAAUGGGCGCAAGCCUGAUCCAGCCAUACCGCGUGGGUGAAGAGGGCCUUCGGGUUGUAAAGCCCUUUUGUUGGGAAAGAAAAGCAGCAGGUUAAUACCCCGCUGUUCUGACGGUACCCAAAGAAUAAGCACCGGCUAACUUCGUG
rnacentral:rRNA from 1 species